UUUUUAUCAAACCAUAUAUAAUAAUUUGUUUUUGGUGACUAACCAUAUACAAUAAUUGAAGCCCAAAAAAAAAACCAUAUAUAAUAAUUAUAUACCUCUAUUUCGUUCUGUCCUUAUUUUUUAUAUAUAAAAGAGGAAAAAAUAUCAGGAAUAGGUCACUACUGAAGUCGCUAGGUGGUGGAUAGGAUAUAAAAAUGGGUGGUAAUAGGUGAUGGUAGGUGCAGAUUAGGGAUUGGCACAAGAAUAGUAAAUAGCUAGAGAGCUAAAAUUUCCAUGGCACAGCCAGGUUACCUUCUUUCUCACAUUUCACUCUGUUCACGGCGCAUUGCAUUUACUCAUCCGAGAAGAGGACCCAAAAGGUGGCAAGGGGUUGGGCCGGGCAUUACCAAACCCGAAAGGGACGCGAGCAACCAUUGUUGACACGUGGCGGCAGGAGGUUUCAUGGACCACAACGUAGUACUGGAAAGGCUUAGGAGUGCGGGUCAUAGGGGUAGUGAAACAGGGUCGUAUUGACUGCAAACAAUGGCACAUUGGCUAGGAAGAGUGCGAAGUUGAAUUUCACUAUGCUAUACUGAUAUUUCAGCUGCCUCUUUAGCUUUAGAGAGGUAGAAGGUGCUGGCGGCAGAGAGAGAAAGACAAAGACAGAGGUCACGCGCGACUGUUUCGUGGUCCCUAAGUCCCUUGCGUUAUAUCUAACGGCAAUUUCAGUUUGUGU